CCUACGGGAGGCUGCAGUGAGGAAUAUUGGUCAAUGGACGAGAGUCUGAACCAGCCAAGUAGCGUGAAGGAUGACUGCCCUAUGGGUUGUAAACUUCUUUUAUAUGGGAAUAAAAUGUUACACGUGUGGGAUUUUGUAUGUACCAUUUGAAUAAGGAUCGGCUAACUCCGUGCCAGCAGCCGCGGUAAUACGGAGGAUCCGAGCGUUAUCCGGAUUUAUUGGGUUUAAAGGGAGCGUAGGUGGAUUGUUAAGUCAGUUGUGAAAGUUUGCGGCUCAACCGUAAAAUUGCAGUUGAAACUGGCAGUCGUGAGUACAGUAGAGGUAGGCGGAAUUCGUGGUGUAGCGGUGAAAUGCGUAGAUAUCACGAAGAACUCCGAUUGCGAAGGCAGCUCACUGGACUGCAACUGACACUGAGGCUCGAAAGUGUGGGUAUCAAACAGGAUUAGAUACCCGGGUAGUC
rnacentral:rRNA from 1 species